rnacentral:tRNA from 1 species
ACUAUUUUGGCAGAAAAGUGCAAUGAAUUUAGAAUUCAUAAAUGUAAGGUGAUCUUACAGGUAGUA